rnacentral:ncRNA from 1 species
UCCUAAGGAGGUCUCAUCGAGAACAGAAAUCUCCAGUAGAACGAAAGGGUAAAAGUCCCCUUUGUUUUUCUUUUUUCGGUGUGAAUACAAACCAUGAAGGUGUGG